UGAGAGUUCAACUGUGUGACUUGCUUUAGCCAAUAGAAUAGAGCAUACUAGUUCCAAACUUGGGUCUUGAGAGGGUUUGGGGGUUUCCAUUUGCUCUCUUGUGCUGCCAUGACAUGAUGUGAAUUUGCGUAGGCUCUGCUGCUGGUCUUAUGAAGAGGAUGUAAGACAAGAGGAGCAGAGCAUCCCCUGCCACACCAUUUCAGAAUAACUCCACAGCAUCAUCUAGGCAAGUGCUUGAUCAAACAACUCGGAACCAUAACUUUGUUGACACAUAAAAUUAAUCAUCACGCUGGGUUUAAUGGAAAGAACAAAGGAAAUGGAGUUAGAAGACUUGUUUUUUGUCAAAUGCUAGAAGAUUUUUGAGCAUCAAUUCCUUCAUUCUAAAAGCCAGAGAAAGUUCGUUUGGAAUAGUUUGACCCUUUUCAGGUUAUCGUAAUGAGAAUACAGUGGUGCUCUCUGUGAGGCUUUCUGCUUCCUCCAUCAAGCGUCCGUGCCGAGACACGUCAAUAAUGUGCCCUUUGUGAUUUAGAUGGUCUAAAAUUGGAGAGAGGAGAAGAUAUGACAGACAAACUCUUAGGUGAAUCAUAUCACCAAGAAAGCACAAUUUGGAAUAUAACAACUCUGUUACAUUAUCUAUUGCCAGUCCAAAAAUGACUGCAUUACCAGUUCUGCAAAAUGUCUCUUCAUUCUUGUCUUUUAUUUCACUCCUGAGAGAAUGUAUUUAUUGUCUAUGAAUCUCCUCUGGGGAAUGCUGGAAUUAAAAAACACAGACCUUUAAAAUA